rnacentral:rRNA from 1 species
GACGAACGCUGGCGGCGUGCUUAACACAUGCAAGUCGAACGGAAAGGCCCUGCUUUUGUGGGGUGCUCGAGUGGCGAACGGGUGAGUAACACGUGAGUAACCUGCCCUUGACUUUGGGAUAACUUCAGGAAACUGGGGCUAAUACCGGAUAGGAGCUCCUGCUGCAUGGUGGGGGUUGGAAAGUUUCGGCGGUUGGGGAUGGACUCGCGGCUUAUCAGCUUGUUGGUGGGGUAGUGGCUUACCAAGGCUUUGACGGGUAGCCGGCCUGAGAGGGUGACCGGCCACUUGGGCCCUGAGGUACGCCCCGGACCCCUGAGGGGGGGAGGGGGGGGAGUUUUUGCACAUGGGACGGGGGCCUGCUGGAGCAACCCCGGGGGGGGGAGGCCGGCUUUCGGGUGUUAAACCGUUUUCGCUUGGACCGAAGCGUGAUGGCGGUAAAUGGGUAAAAAGCCCCGGCUAACUUCGGG